UACGUAGGGGGCAAGCGUUGUCCGGAUUUAUUGGGCGUAAAGAGCGUGUAGGCGGUUGGGUAGGUCCGUUGUGAAAACUCGAGCUCAACCUCGAGACGCCGAUGGAAACCCCCCAGCUAGAGUCCGGAAGAGGAGAGUGGAAUUCCGGGUGUAGCGGUGGAAUGCGUAGAGAUCCGGAAGAACACCGGUGGCGAAGGCGGUCUGCUGGGGUAAUGCUGACACUGAUGCGCGACAGCGUGGGGAGCAAACAGG
rnacentral:rRNA from 1 species